UACGAAGGGGGCGAGCGUUGUUCGGAAUCACUGGGCGUAAAGGGCGCGUAGGCGGCCCUCCUAGUCGCGUGUGAAAGCCCCGGGCUCAACCUGGGAAUUGCAUUCGAGACUGCGUAGCUAGGGUGCGGAAGAGGGAAGCGGAAUUUCCGGUGUAGCGGUGAAAUGCGUAGAUAUCGGAAGGAACACCAGUGGCGAAAGCGGCUUCCUGGUCCAGCACCGACGUUCAGGCACGAAAGCGUGGGGAGCAAACAGG
rnacentral:rRNA from 1 species